rnacentral:rRNA from 1 species
UAAGUCCCCUGCCCUUUGUACACACCGCCCGUCGUUACUACCGAUUGAAUGGCUUAGUGAGGCCUUCGGAUGCGAGCUCCUGUGUGGGCAACCACACUGAGCUUACAGAAGUUGGACAAACUUGGUCAUUUAGAGGAAGUACAAGUCGUAACAAGGUUUCCGUAGGUGAACCUGCGGAAGGAUCAUUUCUGAGAUUACUAUCACAUUUCUGUGAACCUUCUCAUUGUGUUUUGGCGGGGCGCUUUUAUAGCAAGCCGCCAAUCAUACAAAACUCAACCAUUAUUAUUUAUUCAGAUUAACUAUAAAUUAUACAAGCUUCAACGACGGAUCUCUCGGUUCUCGCAUCGAUGAAGAACGCAGCAAAGCGCGAUAGGUAAUGCGAAUUGCAGACGUGAGUCAUUGAAUCUUUGAACGCACAUUGCGCUGUUAGGUUCUCCUAACAGCAUGCCUGUGCGAGCGUCUAUCUUUCUCACCAAUGGUGGUUGCUGACGCUAUGCAGAGUGUCGAAAAGAAUGGAGAUGUACACGUUAGUGAAACUUGUACACCAAGCUUUCUUUAAAAGACCUCGUAUCAGGCAAGACUACCCGCUGAACUUAAGCACUUGUACACCAAGCUUUCUUUAAAAGACCUCGUAUCAGGCAAGACUACCCGCUGAACUUAAGCAUAUCAAUAAGCGGAGGAAAAGAAACCAACAGGGAUUGCCCUAGUAACGGCGAGUGAAGCGGCAAAAGCCCAAAUUUGAAAUCCUCUUUUGAGGAGUUGUAAUUUGGAGAUGGAGUGCUGGACUCAGCUCUGUGGAAGUUGGCUGGAAAGCCGCGCCUUGGAGGGUGAUAGCCCCGUGCCACGGAGGUCCUGUGUCUGUGUAGUACUCUUUCUACGAGUCGCGUUGUUUGGGAAUGCAGCGCUAAGUGGGUGGUAAAUUCCAUCUAAGGCUAAAUAUUGGCGAGAGACCGAUAGCGAACAAGUACUGUAAAGGAAAGAUGAAAAGCACUUUGAAAAGAGAGUGAAAUAGCACGUGAAAUCGUUGAAGUGGAAGGGCUUAAAGCUACACACCUUCUUCGGAAGGGGCUAACAUCAGUUUUGCCGGAUGGAUAAAUGGUAAAGAAAGUGGCAUCUUCGGAUGUGUUAUAGCUUUAUCAAAUACGUCCCGGCGGGAUUGAGGACCGCGCU